CAAGGAUGUUACAUAUCUUCAUUAAAAGUUAAAGGCCCGUUUGGUUUGCAAUUCAAUUCUGAAUUUUAAGUUUACUUUCGGUUUUCUAUUUUGAAGACCUAUUUUAAAAUUACUGAAAAUGCGUUUUGUUUUUCAUUUUGAAUGUCCUGAGAAGGAUAAAACUAGCAUUACAUUUGCCUUGCUGCAAAAAUAGAUGGCUCUGACAAAAUGAAACCCUUUAUUGUUGUUCAUGCACAAAAGCCAACUGUUUUUCAUUUAAAGAAAAAAAUAAUCUGGGGAGCAGCUAAAGUUUUACUUUUACUUGACAAUAUUCAGUCACAUGUAGCAAGAGAUUUGCCUCGUUCGAAUAUGGAGGUUUAUCUUCUUCCUCCGGAUACAACUUCCAAAAUUCAAACGAUGGAUGCUGAAAUCAGAAGUUACACCAAUGUUUAAUGGACGAUGCUAUUAUGCCUAUAUAUUAUCACUUCAUAUUAGGCCAUCUUAUUGAACCCGGAGGAGGGCCAUUUAGAAUUGGACAAUAGAGGCCCAAGUGGCAGCCGAGUAUAAGCCCCAAAGUCGAGACUCUAAAGAGGCCAGCCAAGUCGCCACCGAGACCCUAAGAAGUUCAGCCGAGGUGCCUAUUAUUAUGCUUAUAUAAUCACCUCCUUAUUAGGCUUGGACUUAGUCCCAUCAACUCAAUUGGCCCGUCUCCACUUCUAUAUAUACAUGGAUCCAUCCUCAUUUUAAGGUAAGCCUUCUAUGUCUCAAAUCCCUACUAUUGUACUCUAUAUAUUUAUCUCCAUCCAGCCGUUGAUUUGAUCGUCGCAGUGCAAACGGUCGCCGGACCUUUUUCUCGUCCAACCACCAUUGCCUCUUGACGGGGUGCUAUAUGUGCAGGUUUGUAGGGGACUAGGUCGAGCAUCUGUUAGUGCCAUUUUUGGAGGUCAACAGAUACCAACGCAUCGAGCUUCGAUGUGCAGUUGAUAGAAAUGGGCUAAAGCAACAUGUAACAACAUUUUCAACGAAAGAAUAGCCAAUUGCUAUAAGCACGUAUCUCUUUGAAGAGGAAAAUCAAGAAUUUUGAAGAGAGUCCAAACGAACAAGAAAUAUAGAACAAGAACUUGCAACUCUCGUUGAUCAACUUUCUAUUUAUCACCCAAUAUCUAUUAACGCCCUCUUAAAUCUAGAGGAG
rnacentral:lncRNA from 1 species